CCCACCCUGCCGCAAGGGCGCGGGGCGCCAAGGGCCGGCGGGCCUUUAUGUGCCUCCACUGCCCAGCCCCGAGAGGCCGGUCGUCGCUUUGAUCCGCACUUUUCAGAUGGAUAGCCAAUUGUUCCAAUACCAAAUAUGGAUAAAUCCUGUUUUAAAUGCCAACUCGAUCAUAUGAACCCAAAGAUAAAGGGAAGAUCCUUGAAGCUUUCAGAGACUGAAAAAGUCACACAACGAGGAUCAAGAAGCAGAACGGCUCUGGGCGGCUUAGCAUCAACUCGGAACGCCACAUGCCAGUAGAGAACUGCCUCCGAAUCCUGAGGGGAGAUGGUUUCCAACCCAGAUUUGUACAGCCAGCCAAACUGUCAAUCACUUAUCCAAAAACUGAACUCCCAUAUGCAGUUUCCAAGGAAGCUACUGGCAUAUAUACUACAACAAAAUGAAGGGAGUAAACCAAGAAACAAGAUGACUUAGUAUCUAAGAAACAAGAAACCCACACAGGAGAGAGGUGAAGGGAAUUCCCGGGAUAAUGGUGAGGAGAGAUUUCAGGACUUCUAAUGUAAGGACAGAUAGGAGAGCACCUGGGCCAGGUAGAAGCAGGGAGACGGGGGCUCCAAGGAAAAACAUAGAAGUGAUAGGUCACUAGAUGUGCUUAACUAAUUGCUAGAAAUUUUAGAACUCUGUUGGCAUGUUUGUGGGAAGAAUUAGUAAUGUUAUAUCAAAAGCUAAUUAAAUAAACUGAGGUAAUCACUCCAGGGAAAACAAAGUUGUACAAGACAGCAGCUGUAACCAUAAUAUAGUCCUUUGCUUGGCUACGAAUAAUAUACAUGUAGAUAUGAUUCUGGAAAAGUGGAGUGUUGAUUUAGCAACUGUGACGGGACUAUAUUGGAAGGAAACGUGUGUGUUUGUGUGCAGUAGCUGAUGGAGAACCAGCAGUCCUCCACAGGAGGAAGCCAAUAAAUAAUAUCUAAAAAAACACCCGUAAAGAAUGAUAUUUAGAAAUAUAAAAGUAAAUGUCAGAAGGAACAGCUAAAAGACUUGAAGUUGUUCCCUCUGAGGAGUGGCAAGACUGCUGCUUCCCGUUAUCAGCCUCAUGGUACCAUUUGACUUGUUAAAUCUGAUACAUAAAAAUUUUUGAUAAAAAUAGAAAUUGAAUUUUAAAGUGUUCUUGCAUGUAUUACCUAAAGUCACCUUUUGUACCACUCCUCUUGCUCUUAGCAGAAUGAGCUGAACAAAAUUUAGACAGAUCCAGGUGCCAGUCACAGCUCUGCAAAUUACUAGCAGUGUGAUGCUAAGACAGUUGCUUGGUCUCUCUGAGCCUCCAUUGUUUUCACCUAGAAAGUAGGGAUAACAUUAGUACAUACGUCAUAGGGUUACUGAAAGGAUUAAAUGAGAUCAUGCCUGGGCCUGCCACAUAGAAGCAUCCAAUAAAGGAUGUGUGCAUCAUGGUGGCUAUUGUUUUCAUUUCACUUCAUUCGAUUCCUGAGUGAUUAACCGUGGGCAACUUCUCCAAGCCUCAUCUUUGAAAUUGGCAUAAAAUAUUUUAAGCCUCUGAGGAGAUAAAUGGGAUAAUGAGUGUGGAAUAGCUGGCACCUAAUCUCUGUAAAACUCAGAUUUCUCAUUUGUAAAAUGGGAAAAUCCUUUUAGGGUUCUGGGAGCAUUAAAUGAGAUGACAUAGUGAAAGACAUAGCCUGGUACCAAGGACUCACUUAUUUACUCAAAAAAAGCUAGCUAUGCAUAAGACUAAGAACUUUUCUUUUUGAAAUCAUAUUAAUAAAAGU